rnacentral:rRNA from 1 species
AUUGAACGCUGGCGGCAGGCUUAACACAUGCAAGUCGAGCGAGAGGCGGACGGGUGAGUGAUGUCUGGGAAACUGCCUGAUGGAGGGGGAUAACUACUGGAACAGGUAGCUAAUACCGCAUAACAUCAGAUGGGCCGAGAUGGGAUUAGCGAGUAGGUGGGGUAAUGGCGCACCUAGGCGACGAGCCCUAGCUGGGCUGAGAGGAUGACCAGCCACACUGGAACUGAGACACGGUCCAGACUCCUACGGGAGGCAGCAUUGGGGAAUAUUGCAAAAUGGGCGCAAGCCUGAUGCAGCCAUGCCGCUGGUGUGAAGAAGGCCUUCGGGUUGUAAAGCACUUUCAGCGAGGAGGCGUUACUCGCAGAAGAAGCACCGGCUAACUCCGUGCCAGCAGCCGCGGUAAUAC